GACGUCGAUCUUCGACGUCAUAAACACGAUCAACUUUGGUGUUUAUGACGCCGAUAUUCGACGUCAUAAACACGAUCAACUUUGGUGUUUAUGACGUCGAUAUUCCAAAGUCAUAAAAUCGAUCAACUUUGGUGUGUAUGACGUCGAUAUUCGACGUCAUAAACACGAUCAACUUUGGUGUUUAUGACGUCGAUAUUCGACGUC
rnacentral:miRNA from 1 species